CAUUUUUUUUCAAAGAUGAGUGCAUAAUCUGUGUACCUAAUUUCUAUGAACAAAUGGUCCAACUGCCUGCAGACUGUGUGCAUAAAAACUAUCUCUAAGUAGCCAUGCCUGUGCCAAAUGCUAGAUCUGAACAAGUAGAAAUUAAACUUGCAUGUGCAAUUUGUUUACAUCCAUCUUUGAAAUCUAACUCUCAAUGAGUUAAUCUGAAAACCAGAUAAAUAGUGCAUUCCUAUGCAGAGAAGUAUAGAAGAAAAGACCUGUUAUGUCAUACUUAUUCCCCAAUGCCAAUGCACGAUGAUUUCCUACAUUUUAUUCUUAAUGUUUUUUUACCAUCAUCAAAAUACAGGGCUAGAAGGGGCUUCCUGGGUCAUGAUCUAGUCUCCUACAAUUUCAAGCAGCCAUGUCAUUAUCUGGAUCACAUUUAUUUAGUUCCAUUUUAGAACUGGUUAGAUUUUUGCUCUCCUUGCUUUUAAUAACAGGCUGUUCCAAAGCCUCUCUUCUCUGAAGAUUAGCCAUCAUCUUCACGUGUACAUACUAAUUAGUGGGAUGAAUAAAGAGUAGGUAACAGUGAAACAGAUGGCAGUCAAGGUUACAAAGUUAAGCAGGGUAACCUAUUUUGCGUGCAGGACAGAUUGAAAAGAAACUGGUCAAAGCUUGGUCACAUGUUCACUUAAAGCCUCUCUCCAGUCCUACAGUUAGCAAUCUAGAUUAUUGUUCAAGGAUUGACACUUCUUGGUAACAAAAUUUAAGUACUAAGAUCUAGCAUGCUGUUAAAUUAUAGAAAGCACUAGGAAACGUGCUGGACACUGCUUUUGUAGUGACAGAAGACAGGCUUUUCCCUUGCUGUGGCAGCAGACUGCAGGUGUUUUAUAUUUUCUUUUUGAAUGGCUGCACAGAAUGAACUGGUGAAUUGUAACCUGAAAUCAAAAUAUUAGCAGAAAUCCAGUACUGAGUACCAAGCUCAGGCUCUUGUGCAUGGAUAAUUAAAGCAUGGUACACAUUUCAAAAUCCCACAACAAUUUCUUUAAGGAAUAUGUGUAUCCAAUAUUCUAUCUGCAAAUGCAUUAUCAGUUAUACCAUUGGUUAUUUUAUUCGUGUUUAAUUAAAUCUUCAGCUUGUGCAAGAUGUCAUACUGACAUCCCUAGAAACUGCAAGCUGACGCACAAGAUGGAUACAGUACAGAUCUCUGGGCACUAUUUCUGUUGGAAAGAAGAAAGCAUUCACUGUAACCUACUAGAAAUACAUGCGUCACAUAUGGGAAGGCAACCUAUGAGCAUGUCAAAAUUCUGCUCAUCUGAGGGGCAGAACCAUAGGGCACUAAAAGCAUGCAGGUUACAUGGCAUUUGCAUAAAGGGAGCAAAUUGCAACCACCUUUGUCUUUCAUAAAGAACCACAGCCCCUACAAAGGGGAGCACUGCAAUGCUAGAACUGAUGCUCCCUGUCAGGCAAACAAUCAUAUAGAUGAGGACCACCAAAAAGUCACAUUUGAGUACUGUGCACUGUAUUUUAGCUCCCCCUGGUUCUGGUGUAUCACUUUAAAUUCAAUGACACUUAGAAACUUGUAGCAACUUCAGUAGUACCAACAGUCCACAGCUAUACCUGUGGUUGAUGUUUAGGCUGCCUUCCUUUUUUGGCUGUUUCAUGCACCUUUUUAGCUACAGGCACCACCACUGCUGUCAGCAAUGGUAUACUAAGUGUGGAACGCAAAACUUGGAUCAAUAUGAUGACAGGAAACAUUGAAACAGUAUGUGUUUUCUCUAGCAGUAAAUAAAGUUCACAGGAAAAGAAUAUUCCAAGCAAAUUGCUCUGCCCUACCCUUGUGGUUUGCUUCCCUGCAUUCUGUGUUCAGGAGAUGGCAAAGUGAAACUGGUUUACUGAAAUCCACUUAAGCCUCA